UGGGGAAUUUUGGACAAUGGGGGAAACCCUGAUCCAGCCAUCCCGCGUGUGCGAUGAAGGCCUUCGGGUUGUAAAGCACUUUUGGCAGGAAAGAAACGUCGCGGGUUAAUACCCCGCGAAACUGACGGUACCUGCAGAAUAAGCACCGGCUAACUACGUGCCAGCAGCCGCGGUAAUACGUAGGGUGCAAGCGUUAAUCGGAAUUACUGGGCGUAAAGCGUGCGCAGGCGGUUCGGAAAGAAAGAUGUGAAAUCCCAGAGCUUAACUUUGGAACUGCAUUUUUAACUACCGGGCUAGAGUGUGUCAGAGGGAGGUGGAAUUCCGCGUGUAGCAGUGAAAUGCGUAGAUAUGCGGAGGAACACCGAUGGCGAAGGCAGCCUCCUGGGAUAACACUGACGCUCAUGCACGAAAGCGUGGGGAGCAAAACAGGAUUAGAUACCCUGGUAGUCCACGCCCUAAACGAUGUCAACUAGCUGUUGGGGGCCUUCGGGCCUUGGUAGCGCAGCUAACGCGUGAAGUUGACCGCCUGGGGAGUACGGUCGCAAGAUUAAAACUCAAAUGAA
rnacentral:rRNA from 1 species